rnacentral:rRNA from 1 species
AACGAACGCUGGCGGCAGGCUUAACACAUGCAAGUCGAACGCCCCGCAAGGGGAGUGGCAGACGGGUGAGUAACGCGUGGGAAUCUACCGUGCCCUGCGGAAUAGCUCCGGGAAACUGGAAUUAAUACCGCAUACGCCCUACGGGGGAAAGAUUUAUCGGGGUAUGAUGAGCCCGCGUUGGAUUAGCUAGUUGGUGGGGUAAAGGCCUACCAAGGCGACGAUCCAUAGCUGGUCUGAGAGGAUGAUCAGCCACAUUGGGACUGAGACACGGCCCAAACUCCUACGGGAGGCAGCAGUGGGGAAUAUUGGACAAUGGGCGCAAGCCUGAUCCAGCCAUGCCGCGUGAGUGAUGAAGGCCUUAGGGUUGUAAAGCUCUUUCACCGGAGAAGAUAAUGACGGUAUCCGGAGAAGAAGCCCCGGCUAACUUCGUGCCAGCCGCCGCCGUAAAAC